UGGGGAAUUUUGGACAAUGGGGGCAACCCUGAUCCAGCCAUUCCGCGUGAGUGAAGAAGGCCUUCGGGUUGUAAAGCUCUUUCAGCAGGAACGAAACGGUACGCGCUAACAUCGUGUGCUAAUGACGGUACCUGCAGAAGAAGCACCGGCUAACUACGUGCCAGCAGCCGCGGUAAUACGUAGGGUGCGAGCGUUAAUCGGAAUUACUGGGCGUAAAGCGUGCGCAGGCGGAUUGUUAAGCAAGACGUGAAAUCCCCGGGCUUAACCUGGGAAUGGCGUUUUGAACUGGCAGUCUAGAGUGUGUCAGAGGGGGGUGGAAUUCCACGUGUAGCAGUGAAAUGCGUAGAGAUGUGGAGGAACACCAAUGGCGAAGGCAGCCCCCUGGGAUAACACUGACGCUCAUGUACGAAAGCGUGGGUAGCAAACAGG
rnacentral:rRNA from 1 species